rfam:Kerstersia gyiorum strain CG1 PROKKA_contig000004, whole genome shotgun sequence.
CCGCUAUCCGCUAACCGGUUUGGCCGUGUCGCGGAAGGUUUUCCUGCAUCGUCAAGGGUGAAACGCCCGGAAAGGUGAAGCG